UGGGCUUACAAUACAUGCAGGUUAGGUAUAAUGAACUUAAAGUCAUCACCCCAAUGGUGAUUUGUUUCAUCAAAAACAAAUAAAAUGAACAUGCAAAAACCCAUAUGAUAAGAUCAAGGCAAUGCAACAAAAGGUUCUCUUCGGACCCCAAUCUCAUUUCAUCCACAUAUGUUGUUUUCAUGGAGAAGACACUCUCUCUGUCGCAUGAAGAUAGGGUUUGGACUGAGCUUUUGCAUGGCUCCUCUUUGCAUAUGUGUGAACUAGAGUUGUGAUUGGGGGCUUCGACAGAACUUUGAGUUCAGAUUCUUUGUAUGGCUCCAAAUAUGGUCAUCUCUUGGAGUGGACAAUAGAAAACUUGGAUCAACGGAACUGAUCAGAAGACUUCUAGAAAGAACUCAUCAACCUAUCCAGGCAAUGAUGGGUUCCCUCUCUCUCUCUCUCUCUCUCUUUCAUAUAUUUUUCUGAUUUCUUAUGUGUUUACCGUACUAUGAUCAGAAAGAUAUCUCUUGGCUAUUCCCACGGCUUGUUGGGAUUUCAUGAACAAUUUGAUCUUUAUAAAUAAAAAUGUGUUUCAUGCAAAUGUUUAAUUCA